rnacentral:rRNA from 1 species
GCGCGAAACCUUCACAAUGCACGAAAGUGUGAUGAGGGUACUCCGAGUGCGCAUACAUUGUAUGUGCUUUUCUGCAGCGUAAAUAGUUGCAGGAAUAAGGGCUGGGCAAGACCGGUGCCAGCCGCCGCGGUAACACCGGCAGCCCUAGUGGUGGUCGCUUUUAUUGGGCCUAAAGCGUCCGUAGCCGGAUAGGCAAGUCUUUGGGUAAAUCCUACGUCUUAAGCGUGGGAAUUCUAAAGAUACUACCUGUCUUGAGGCCGGGAGAGGCUAGAGGUACUCCUGGGGUAGGGGUAAAAUCCUAUAAUCCUGGGGGGACCACCGAUGGCGAAGGCAUCUAGCUGGAACGAGCCUGACGGUGAGGGACGAAACCCAGGGGAGCGAGCCGGAUUAGAUACCCGGGUAGUCCUGGGCGUAAAUGAUGUGGGCUUGGUGUGAGCGCAUCGACGAGGUGCGUUUGUGCCGUAGGGAAGCCGUUAAGCCCACCGCCUGGGGAGUACGGUCGCAAGGCUGAAACU